AUUGAACGCUGGCGGCAGGCCUAACACAUGCAAGUCGAACGAGGGGCGGACGGGAGAGUAAUGUCUGGGAAACCGCCCGAGGGAGGGGGAUAACCACGGGAAGCGGUAGCUAAUACCGCAUACCAACGGAUGUGCCCAGAUGGGAUAAGCUAGUAGGGGGGGUAACGGCUCACCUAGGAGACGACCCCUAGCUGGUCUGAGAGGAUGACCAGCCACACUGGAACUGAGACACGGUCCAGACUCCUACGGGAGGCAGCAGUGGGGAAUAUUGCACAAUGGGCGCAAGCCUGAUGCAGCCAUGACGCGUGUAUGAAGAAGGCCUUCGGGUUGUAAAGUACUUUCAGCGAGGAGGCGUUACUCGCAGAAGAAGCACCGGCUAACUCCGUGCCAGCAGCCGCGGUAAUAC
rnacentral:rRNA from 1 species